rnacentral:rRNA from 1 species
UACGGAGGGUGCGAGCGUUAAUCGGAAUUACUGGGCGUAAAGGGUGCGUAGGUGGUUAAUUAAGUUAGAUGUAAAAACCCUGGGCUUAACCUGGGACUGAGAUUUAAUACUGGUUAACUUGAGUAUGGGAGAGGGUAGUGGAAUUUCCGGUGUAGCGGUGAAAUGCGUAGAGAUCGGAAGGAACACCAGUGGCGAAGGCGGCUACCUGGCCUAAUACUGACACUGAGGCGCGAAAGCGUGGGGAGCAAACAGG